rnacentral:rRNA from 1 species
UACGGAGGGUGCGAGCGUUGUCCGGAAUCACUGGGCGUAAAGGGCGCGUAGGCGGCCUGAUAAGUAGGGGGUGAAAUCCUGUGGCUUAACCGCAGGGCUGCCUUCUAAACUGUCAGGCUGGAGCACAGUAGAGGCAGGUGGAAUUCCCGGUGUAGCGGUGGAAUGCGUAGAGAUCGGGAAGAACAUCAGUGGCGAAGGCGGCCUGCUGGGCUGUUACUGACGCUGAGGCGCGACAGCGUGGGGAGCAAACAGG